rnacentral:rRNA from 1 species
UACGUAGGUGGCAAGCGUUGUUCGGAAUUACUGGGCGUAAAGCGCGCGCAGGCGGCUUUCCAAGUCAGUGGUGAAAGCCCGGAGCUCAACUCCGGAAUUGCCAUUGAAACUGUGAGACUUGAGUAUGAGAGAGGUGAGUGGAAUUCCCAGUGUAGAGGUGAAAUUCGUAGAUAUUGGGAAGAACACCGGUGGCGAAGGCGGCUCACUGGCUCAUUACUGACGCUCAGGCGCGACAGCGUGGGGAUCAAACAGG